AUGGGGGUGGGGGUACAUCCCAGUAGUACUCUGUUCACUGCUCCUGGACUCUGCACUCUCAUUUCCCCUCCUUCACGGACCCGCCGCCAGGGGCCGCAUGAUCCGUGCACAGAGGAAGGCUCCAUCUCUGUCUUCCGGGCACACGUGAAGCACCGCAAGGGCGCCGCGCGACUGCGCACCAUGGUCUUGGCGGAGCGGCACGGCUACAUCAAGGUCAUCGUGAAGGAUGGCAUCGUGAAGGAUAUCAUCCACGACCCAGGCCACAGUGCUCCCCUCGCAAAGGUAGUCUUCCGCAAUCCAUACCAGUUUAAGAAGAGGACGGAGCUCUUCAUCACUGCUGAGGGUAUUCAUACGGGCCAGUUCGUGUACUGUGGCAAGAAAGCCCAGCUCAACAUUGGCGAUGUUCUCCCUGUAGGCAGUAUGCCUGAGGGUACAAUCUUGUGCUGCCUGGAGGAGAAGCUUGGGGACUGUGGCAAGCUAUCUUGGGCCUCAGGGAGCUAUGCCACUGCUAUCUCCCUUAAUCUGAAGACUAAGAAGACCCGUGUGAAGCUGCCCUCUGGCUCCAAGAAAGUCAUCUCCUCAGCUGACAGAACGGUUGUUGGUGUGGUGGCCAGAGAUGGCGGAAUUGAGAAACCCAUCCUGAAGGCUGGCCGUGCUUACCACAAAUACAAGGCAGAGAGGAACUGCUGGCCACGUGUGCAGGGUGUAGCCAUGAACCCUGUGGAGCAUCUCUUCGGAGAUGGUAACCACCAACACAUGAGCAAGCCCUCCACCAUCUGCAGAGAUGCCCCCACUGCCCAAAAAGUGGGUCUCAUUGCUGCCCACCAGACUGGACGUUUCCGGGGAACAAGAUAGUUCAGGAGAAAGACCUAGGGCAGAGGGGCUCAAUAAAGCUUGUCCU